CUCUCGGGUAUGAAGUUACCUUCCUUAUUGUCUAAGUUUAGUUGUAAUUACGUCACGGCAACUUAUUCACGUUAGGGUUGCUUCAAGCUGGGAGUGUCUCAGACCCUCAGUGCCUUGGACGCCCUGCCAGCGAGCACUAUCCCACAUUCAUGCCUAUCUGUCGUGUGUGUCCAUCGUGACCCGGUAGCUUGUUAACAUCAUAACGACGCUGCUCGGCUUUGGCCCAACUCUGUGUGAGGCUCCUCUGAAGCUCGGGUCAGGGAGCAGCACACGCGGCCACACCAGAACACAGCAGACCCGCCGGCUUACUCGACUUGCUGUUGUAAACUACGAGUAUGGAGUCAGGUGCCGCACCCUCCAGCAGCAGCAGCACCGAUCAGGAAUCAGCCAGCCCGCUACAGCAGCAUACGUGUGCCGUGUGAAGGCAACACCUGAUGCAAGGCAGACUGAUGCUCGUCCUCUAGAGAGAGAGAGAGAACAGCCGCAGGGAACGGGAAGGUGGUUGUGCCAGAGUUGAGAGAAUAUAACAGUUGUGUAAUAUAAUAUGUGGGAAUGAUUGGAAGCACUGCCUCGCUCCUAACUUGUGUACCCAAGCCAGUGGGGGUGGGUUUAGUAGAUGGACCGGUAAAAGGAAAGCUGUGAUGUAUGGAAGGCAGUGGCCAUGGGAUGUCGUGUGCUGCUGGUGUUUAUAAAUAAUACAUAUAUAUAAUAUAUAUGAAAUGUUUAUCAAAGGAGAGGAUUCAGUUGUAUGGCUUUUUUAUACACAAUACCAGUUGGUUUAUGACGGAUAUCAACAGUAUGCUUCUUCCAUCACCUGCGCCUCACUGUCUUCAACGUCAGUCAAGGUCGUCAGUGUGUAGGCUACGUUUGACUUUGAGUGCGCAUAUGAUGAAAUAUUUCAAGAAAAUUGUUUUAUAUAUUGUAACAAAAAUUGUAACAAAAAAUGUAAAAUACUCGUAUUGUCCACAGACAGAAUAAAUUAUAUGAAUAAGCAAA